UACGUAGGGGGCAAGCGUUAUCCGGAUUUACUGGAUGUAAAGGGAGCGUAGACGGCGAUGCAAGUCUGAAGUGAAAGGCGGGGGCCCAACCCCCGGACUGCUUUGGAAACUGUAUGGCUGGAGUGCAGGAGAGGUAAGUGGAAUUCCUGGUGUAGCGGUGAAAUGCGUAGAUAUCAGGAGGAACACCGGUGGCGAAGGCGGCCUGCUGGACUGCAACUGACGUUGAGGCCCGAAAGCGUGGGGAGCAAACAGG
rnacentral:rRNA from 1 species